GGUUGUGGCUCAGCGGUAGAGCACUAGCCUAGCACAUGCAGGGUCCUGGAUUCAAUUCUCAGCACCA
rnacentral:tRNA from 1 species